CCACCCCUCACCCUUUCCCUCUCCCUUUCUCCAUCAUCCUUAAACCUUCUUUCACAGCUACAAAAACCAUCAUGGCUAAUCAAAAUUUGCCAUUUUUUUCACUUUCAACUUAUUGAAAAUAACUCAUAUAUCUUUUAUGUGCUUCGUCGUUGACAUUGUAUUAAAAUUCGGUGACUCAAUACUUAUUCCCUAAAUACAUUUUUUUGUGGGAAUUCUUAGAUCCAACUCACUGUAAGGUGAAAAUUAUCAUCAAGGACUAAAAUAUAUGGAUGAAUUCUCUACAAUCUGUGGCAAAAAAUUGAUUUCAUUUGGUGCUAAGGGAUCUAUUUACAUGAUUUCUAAUAAAUCACCACGGAGCAAAUCGGAUUCACCUGAAAAAAUGCUAUCGAUUACGAUCACUUUUUCAAUAUUUUUCAUCUUCAUUUUUUCUUUCCGUUAAAUGCAAUUAAAGUCUAUUGAUGUUUAUUAGAACCACUCUGUAUCAAUACAGAAAAAAAACAACCUAAGAGAAAAAAAAACUACCAUGAGUGGUUGGAAAGUCAAACUCCGAGCAUCAGAAAAUUCACCUUCAUUUCUAUAAUGAAGAAGAAGGGAAAAAUAAAAGCAAAAAAAUUGAAAAAAAAAAAAGAAGCAAAAUAAGAAAAAAUAAUGAUAAAAGUUCUUUUAAUACAAAAAUCUGUCAAAUCAAUUAUUUUGGUCGCUUUCAAACAAAAAAUUGUAUAUGCACU
rnacentral:lncRNA from 1 species